rnacentral:misc_RNA from 1 species
AAGUCGUAACAAGGUUUCCGUAGGUGAACCUGCGGAAGGAUCAUUAACACGUAUCCACGUUUUAACAAAAACACUAUCAACACCAGAAAGAACUGAACUCCCUACUGAUAAAACUGCGGUGUCGUAAUCCUGUCUUGAUGGGUCCCAGUCGAAGCGUGUAGUUGUUGGAGACUUGCGUUAGAUUGAAGGCUGGCAGGCGUCGACUAUCAUACCUCGAGUAUGUGCCAAAACAUUAUUAGUAGGCUUACUGACUCUAUUCUCGCGUGGAAGUCAAAUUCCAAUCCUUACCAUCAUAAGGCCGAGUCUAGAACCCCAUAACCUAUUUCACCCUAUUUUACCCAUUUGACUAAUUUUUAUAUUCUUAGGAGAAAUCCUUUGAAUUACUAAGAUUUAUCUUAACUAAGCACAACUCUUAGCAAUGGAUAUCUUGGUUCUC